CCUACGAGUGGCAGCAGUGGGGAAUAUUGCACAAUGGGGGGAACCCUGAUGCAGCGACGCCGCGUGAGUGAAGAAGUAUUUCGGUAUGUAAAGCUCUAUCAGCAGGGAAGAAAAUGACGGUACCUGACUAAGAAGCCCCGGCUAACUACGUGCCAGCAGCCGCGGUCAUACGUAAGGUGCAAGCGUUAUCCGGAAUUACUGGGUGUAAAGGGAUCGCAGCCGGCUGUGAAAGGCUGGAGUGAAAGGCGUGGGCCCAACCCCCGGACUGCCGUGGAAACUGGAAAGCUGGAGUGCAGGAGAGGUAAGCGGAAUUCCUAGUGUAGCGGUGAAAUGCGUAGAUAUUAGGAGGAACACCAGUGGCGAAGGCGGCUUACUGGAGCGCAACUGACGUUGAGGCUCGAAAGCGUGGGGAGCAAACAGGAUUAGAUACCCCAGUAGUC
rnacentral:rRNA from 1 species